rnacentral:rRNA from 1 species
UCUUUAGAUUUGAAUUUAAGAUCAGGCCUGCCCAUUGAUUUUAUAAUUAAAAGGCUGCGGUAUUUUAACUGUACGAAGGUAGCAUAAUCACUUGUCUUUUAAUUGAAGGCUAGAAUGAAUGGUUUGAUGAAAAAUAUACUUUCUUUUUUUGAUUUAUUUGAAUUUGACUUCUCAGUUAAAAGGCUGAGAUUUUUUUAUAGGACGAGAAGACCCUAUAGAAGUUUACUUUAUUAUUUAUUUUUUGUUUUUUGCUUUUAAAAUACUUUUUUAGAAAUAAAGUUUUGUUGGGGUGACAUUAAAAUUUAUUUAACUUUUAAUUAUUUUUUUCAUUAAUUUAUGUUUUAUUGAUCCUGAAUUUUAGAUUAAAAGUUUAACUUACCUUAGGGAUAACAGCGUAAUUUUUUUGGAGAGAUCUUAUC